ensembl:lncRNA
AGGAACUGAAGUGAGGGGUGUCGCAGUGGGAGGUUUUAAGCUCUGAGACUGGACGCGGCUACAGCGCUCAUAUAACAGCAACUGUGCUGAGCAGGGUGAGCUUGGGGAACACUCAUUCCCCAGCCAACAUUCAUCUGAGGCUCAUUUGGGGGUGCAGUGCAAGAAGCAUCUCUCCGGACGCUGUUGAAGUGUCCGCAUUGAAGGUCUUGUGUCCCAUGGGGAGAACCAAAGACUGCUCUGAUCUGUGCCGAGUAACCACACAGCCUCAGUAAUUCAGAGGAGGAGUUCUGAUCUUUGACCUCUCCAAGAUCCGGGACAGUCUGCAGUAGUCUUUUAGAAGAUGCUUGGGAUGCAGCUUCAGCUGGCCAGUGGGAGAAUUCUCGUGACGUCUACCUCAGCCCAGAGCUCACCAGGAACAGUCUGGAUAGACUUGUCUGUCACAAAAUGGCCUAGAGUCCACACAACUCUCAUGGGAUAAACCCAAGAUUUUCACAGAGCCUAGAGGAAAUUUGGACGAAAAUUGAAGGAAUCCUGGAAAGUGUGCUCCUUGUGGGAGGACACUGGGGAAAGCUAGUUUCAGACAGAGUGGCCAAAACUGAAGUACUUCCCUCUGUAUUCUGAGAUGGGUGCUUAGCUAGCUCCAAAGGACACCCCAUACCAUCCUGUGAAGCGGCCAGGCACAGCUGUGUUCCAAUAAAGGCAGCUGAGAAAUCUGACGACCAAGAAAACUGUCCUGAGCGGGACCUGCUGCAGAAGGGGUUCUGGAAGGUGGUGCUUCCCCAGGGCAGCAGCAUCUCCCAGGGAGGAAGAGCCACCUCAUCCCGGAGGUGGAAAAGAGCUGGCAGGGGUCCUCCCCAGCGUCCGUGAGACAAGGGCCCUCACAGGGGACGCAGGAAGAGAGCUGGUCCUCAGAAGCGUUCCUGUGUGGCACUGAUGGGGAGAUGGUUGUAGACGGUUGUCCCAAGUGACUGUUGGAAUGUGGUUCUAAGCAACAUCACCCGAGUACAGACAGAACUGCCUCUCGGCCCCCUCGACCUAUAGCUGCUCCAUGGAAACGUCCUUUCAGUCUCUACCAGGCCAGUUCGGCAAACAGGCAGAAAAACACAGGGGGUGCAUUCAGACAACAUUAGUGAGAGGGAUGGGUGUUCGGGUAUACUGGGCACCAGACUUCAGUGG